CGGCACUACUGUACCUACAGUGUCAGAUUAUGUUCAGACUGAGGGUGACCCCCUCCCCUGCUGGCCUAAACUGCAUGGUAUGCUUGUGCUUGUUGGGUGACCCCCUCUUGCACGCUGGGUGACCCCCAGCUGGCCGCACCACUGUACCUACAGUGUCCGAUUAUGUUCAGACUGAGGGUGACCCCCUCCCCUGCUGGCCUAAACUGCAUGGUAUGCUUGUGCUUGUUGGGUGACCCCCUCUUGCACGCUGGGUGACCCCCAGCUGGCCGCACCACUGUACCUACAGUGUCCGAUUAU